CACGGAGUUAGCCGGUGCUUCUUCUGCGGGUAACGUCAAUUGCUGUGGUUAUUAACCACAACACCUUCCUCCCCGCUGAAAGUACUUUAUAACCCGAAGGCCUUCUUCAUACACGCGGCAUGGCUGCAUCAGGCUUGCGCCCAUUGUGCAAUAUUCCCCA
rnacentral:rRNA from 1 species